rnacentral:lncRNA from 1 species
UGUGCUAGAAAAGCUUAAGGCAUAUAUCUGCUGUCUGGGCUACAACUAAUGGUAUUUUGUUGCAACUGAACGGUUUAUGCUCUGUGUGUCGGCAUGGUGAUGAAGACUAGCCAACUGUUCCCCACCGGGAGCCCCCGCGUCGCUCCCGCAGGCGGCACGGGGGAAACCUCGCAGCGCCGCCGCCGGGCUUCCUCCCUCCUCCCCCUCCUCGCCGUCGACCGAGCUGAGGGCCGGAAGCCCGGCACCAGCAAGGAGGGCUGCGGCGGGGCGUCUCGGCCAGGAAGCGUCCUGGUGCGCUGUGCGGGCGGCGGCGGCGGCGGCGGUGUUCUUCUCCGGCGGCUCCUGGGGCUGCUCCGGUGCUCCAUCGGCCGGAUCCGUGGCCCCCAGGGGCGGAUCCGUUGCCUCCUCUGACGGAUCUGCGGCCCUGAGGCUGGGGCCGGCGUGAGGGCAGGUGGAAGGCGGCGUGAGUGCCGCGCUGCUGCCUGGCGGCUGCGGACGGCGGCCGCGGAAGGCUGCGCGAGGCGAAGACCGUUGGCGGGCGGCUGCGGAGUGCGGCGCGGUGGUGUGGCGAGGUCGUCGGUCAGGGGUCUGCGCGGUGGUCCGGCUGCCGGCGCUUCACCCUGCAAGCCGCGAGCUGAGGGACCCGGCGGGGUCCUCGCCUGAGGAAGGCGUGACACCUCGGCGGCGAGGUGCACCGACCGGCGGUGUUGCGUGCGCGGCAGGGGUAACCCGGUCUCCGUGUGUGGCCAGUCGGAGGGGGUGGCGGUGGACGUAGCUACGCGGCUGCGACGCGCAGCCGGCGCGCCGAUUCCCCUCUGGAAGGGCUGCUAUGGGACGUGAGGGCACCGGCGGCGGCGGUGGUGGUGAGCUAGGGUUUUGGCAUCCUGGCGCGACGUUUGUGCUGGAGCACCUUAGCCGAAAGUCUCGUCGACAGUGAUUUAGGCGAAAGUCUCGUCGACAGUGAUGUAUGUUGGCACCGUUUUUCCUGUUGAGGGCGUCUAUUCCCUAGCACAUCUUGCAUGAGUGAAAACCCAGUCCAUAUCUUGGACGAGCGGCGGGGAGCUACGGUGUCGUUCCUUUCCUGAAGGCGUUACUAUUGGAACUCGUUUCGGUCAUGACGUCACUCCCGGUGGACAAUCUAUGCUUCUCGGUACCGGUCGACGUGAGGAGUGGGACUUGCUGCAUGAAGUCGGAGCUGCUGCUUUGGAGGCAUGGCUCGGUAAAGAUAACACAAGGCGAAACCCCCUCCCCCCUCUUCGGCGCCCGGUUUUUGACUUGGGAGGUCUGGCAAACGUCGGGAGCCGGGCGUGGAUCCUUGGCAGGAUGUCGGAGCUACUCUGUCUUGAGCUUGCACUACAAAAAUCCUUUAAUCUAUGAUGAAUUUUCGGUGACGUUUACGACAACCGUCAUAAAUAGACAGGAUCUAUAACAAUUUAUGUAUUUUCUCACAGAUUUGUAAAUAACCCAUAUGGACUGUAAUUUGG